rnacentral:rRNA from 1 species
AGUUACCAGCACGUUAUGGUGGGCACUCUAAGGAGACUGCCGGGUGACAAACCGGAGGAAGGUGGGGAUGACGUCACGUCAUCAUGGCCCUUACGGCCUGGGCUACACACGUGCUACAAUGGUCGGUACAAAGGGUUGCCAAGCCGCGAGGUGGAGCUAAUCCCAUAAAACCGAUCGUAGUCCGGAUCGCAGUCUGCAACUCGACUGCGUGAAGUCGGAAUCGCUAGUAAUCGUGAAUCAGAAUGUCACGGUGAAUACGUUCCCGGGCCUU